UCCCUCGCGUCCCGAUGCUGCCAGGAGGCAACGCUCGAUCCGUUGCUACGCCAGCCGAUGGCCGACGCCGGCGAGGAUUUGCCCCCUCUCCUGACCCAUGUCUCUGUCUCGCGAAAUAGGGUUGGGCGCCGCCGCCGUUUUCCUGGUUGACAACGGCUAGCGUGGCGCGGUAGGCAGCCAGAGCGCCGCACGGGAGGUCCUUGUCGGGCGAAGCCCGUAUCACAGCGGUCCGGUGGAGGAAGAGGGCGGCGAAGUCAAGGAUGGGCGCAGCUUGCGGAGCCCCGUCCUCCUUUGUCCUCUCCCAUCGAGCGCCAGCGCCCCCACCUCCAUCUCGCGAGCCAUCCCCGGCUCCUACCGACCCCGCAGCUUCAUCGCCACCACCGCCGCCGCCGCCGCCGCCAUGAACCAGCCGGUGCAGAAGAACAACCUCUACGUAGGAACUUGGUAGCACCAUCGUCCCUCACUAACCUAUUCUCCGUCGCCGCUAUCCGCGCUCGGUCGCUUGCUUGCUAUUCGACGAAAUUCCUCUUCGAGAUGUGCAUGGUGGAUUGGCGGAGGAGGUGGACGAGAAGAUCAUGCAUGCGACAUUCGUGCUGUUCGGGGAGAUCAAGGACAUCAAGACGCCGCUCGACUAGGCCACACAGAAGCACCGCUCCUUCAGGUUCGUCACGUUCCUGGAGCGCGAGGACGCCACCGCCGCCAUGGGCAGCAUGGAUGGCGUCGAGCUCUUUGGUCGCGUUCUCACCGUGAACUAUUCCUUCCCCGAGGAAAUCAAGGGAGGGGAGCAUGGAUAGGCCGCGCUGCCAGGUAUGUCUGGCAUCCCAUGCUUCUCCACGGUUCAAUUACAUUAUGCCCUGCUUUUGUGCUUGCCUGCCUGGUUUCUUGACACUAGGGUUAGGGCUGCCAAAUAUUUUUCUUACGUGGUAUGAAGUUGAAAGAUUAAGGGCGAGGAAUUUUUAGGACGCGAUUAGACUAAAGCCUAGACAUUUUAUGGUGUUAAUGUCCAUUAAUUCUGCUUUUGUAUUGUGGUUUAUCUUUAUGUUAUCAUUAUAAGGAUUUUCUCCAGCUCAAAUUGGUAGAAAAAUGAAUUGUCCAUGUACAUUAAGUUUUUGUGCUAAGUCAAGGAGCAAAGUCAGCCACCGCCGCGGCGACAUGUCACGGUCGUGCGAGAGUGUGGACAGGCUGACUAGGGAUGAGACUUGGAGAACAAGAGCAUGGGAAGCCAGGCCUUAGGAGCAAGGGCCGAUGGGUGGCACGAGGACCUCGACAGUGUAGCGGCGCCUACUGGUUCUAUAGACCGACUGAUUAUGGAGGUGACUGUCCCAUCCACGACAAGCAUAGAGGACCCAUGAACUGAAACAGAGCACUGGUGUUAAGUUAGACCAGAGGAGCACACACACGGUCAGGUUUCAGGAACCACUGCUUCAUAAUUGUCCUUUUUAAACUGAGUGCUGGUUAAAUAAUCACAACCCUCUUAUUACAAGGUUAAGUUCAACUUGACACCAGCAAUAAUGGCUUGUAAUGAGCUAGAUUGGCUGAGACUGGACAUUAUGGAUUUGGUAGUGUAUAUACUAUAUACUGGAAAAUGGUAGCAUAGUCUUUGUAUGCUUAUUUUUUGAAUCGACAACACUCUACAGUCUUGAUGCUUAACUGUUGCUUUGAAAUAUUUGGAUCGCAUAUUAAACUAGAGUUUCAGUGUUGAAACUCGAUUCCUUGAAUCAAAGAGUUAAAUACUAGACAACAAGGUCACUUUGAUGCAAGCUAACCGUUUACAUGAGGCUUCAGCGUUUUGGAUUCUAGGUUUGAUGUUUACAUGAGACUAUUUUCCAGUUUACCUGAUCCAAUAUUUGCUGAUUGUAGACUUGUACUGUAUGCCAAUGAAGUCAGAUGACGUUUCUCAAUGGGGAAAGUUGGACAUUGUGUGUUAUCAGUUGUUUCUUCAUAGCACACAGCUAAAUUUCACAUUAUCUUCAUUGUAUAGCUGAUCCUCUGCCCCUCUGUAUUAAGCCUAGAAUCUGAAUAUUUUGUACUUUGACAGUUUAGCAUAUACCAUCUUCUUAGAUUUCUUCUAUUAAUGUUAAUAGAGUGUAUAAUCAUUAAGAACUAUUCCCAGCCAAAAUAAUUAAGCCCGUAUGAAAUACUUUAGUUGUACAACAACUUAAUUGCAUUAUUUCUAUUUUAUACAGCAGGAAGGACCCAGAUUAGUGAUGUUCAUAUGUACAGAAAACCGUACGAGAUUUUCAUGACAAUAUGUAUGAUCUCUACUUGUAAAGACUGGUACUUUAAGCCUAGAGUGACCCCUUUUGGAAAAUAUAAGAAAUUUUCAUCUUAGAAUGACCCAACGAAUUUCCCCAUUGAGAAUUUUUCAGCUUAGAAUGACCCAACAAUUUCCAGUUUACUUUAAGCUUGGAAUGACCCAACAAUUUCCAGUUUACUUUAAGCUUAGAAUGACCCAAUGAAGUGUACUUUGCAUCAUACAAAAGGAAAUUGUUGUGUACUCAGUAUGUACUUGCAAAAUAUAAGGAACACAUAUAUAAGAACAGUAAACCACGUCUAAAGUUUGUAUCUAUACAUAAUAUUUUGGUCUACUGAAUCUGGUUAUAUUAACUUGGUUGGUGGUCAUUGCUUCCUUUUUUAGCUAUUUGUACGCCGAUUUGAGCACACACAAUUAUUUUAAUUAUUCUACAGGGACAGAUGAGGCCGCCGCAAUCCCAUGCCUCGCUCAAUGUGUGAAUGGCCCCUCAGGAUAAUUUGCACCAAGUACUUCAGUCCUAUAAUUUUGGAUGUAAGGCGGCUUUCUCGAUCUUGGCCUUGAAGUUAGGAUGAUGCGCGACUGGCUUGAAAGGAGUUGGAGUUCUACCAAACAACUCGAAAGUCGGUGAUGUCUCCGUAGUUCUUCUACACAUAUUGUCACUGGUUUCCAUCACUUUUCUUUCCCAUAAAGACACCAAAUUCCAUGGGCGUCAUGAUGAUCACUAGAAAAAUGACUAUGUACAUAUUAAAUCUACAAGCAAUUGAUGCCCUGUUUAAUCACAAAAUCAAGGGUUUCGACUAA